CUCUAACCCUAACACAUCUUGAAUAUAUUGAAACACAAAUCGGCGCCUACCUCCUUAAAUCCUCACACACACCUCUCUUAGCAGACGCCUCUGCUCUCUAACCCUCAAUCGUCAUGCCUGGGAGACGACCGGACAUUGACCCACGUCGAUAUCCUUGAUUCUCGAAGCAAUACUUCGUUGUGCAUUAUGCAAAUACCAUGCGUCUAUUUUCGGAGUGGGUAACCCGACACGAUGAGUUAUUACCCGAGCAAUGUUACGUGGAGUUGCCUAAUGGUGUAAGAUGGCCUGUAUAAAUGAAGGAGAGACCUUGUGGUUUGUAUUUCGAAAAUGGGUGGGCUGACUUUGUUUACAGAGCACAUCUCUGUAAUGGUGACACCUAAAUCUCAUCUAUGUUGGCAAUGGGGUGUUUCACUUAGACCGAUAUAACUUAAUGUCUGGAUGCAUCCUAAAUCUUGAUUUCGAACGUGGUGGUGCUGUUGAGGACUCGGAACAUGAGGCGGACAUUGAUUCGAUUGUCGAUUGGUAUCUGUCAGACUAGGAAGAUGACUAUAUCGAAGGGACAGACACGGAGCUUGAGAUAACUACCGGUGUUGCAUUUCCAACCUUUGUCGGUGUUCAAAUCUCAUCGUAUUUUUAAUUUCCGUGCAAUAUAAUUAUAUAUACAAAAUACCAAGUCAAAA